ensembl:rRNA 5S_rRNA 5S ribosomal RNA
GUCUACAGCUGCACCACCCUCAACGUGCCUGAUUGCGUCUGAUCUCAGAAGCUAAGCAGGGUCACGCCUGGUUAGUACUUGGAUGGGAAAAAUGCCCUGACACAGCCCUGGGGAACAUUCACACUGCAACCC